rfam:Glossina morsitans morsitans, isolate Yale, WGS project CCAG01000000 data, contig: ctg10006284
AUGAUGAUUUUACAUGUUUAAAAAUGGUUAGAAUAUAUCUGAUAACCCAUGAAGUUACUAGGGCGGACUGAUUAA